rnacentral:rRNA from 1 species
AGUGAACGCUGGCGGUAGGCCUAACACAUGCAAGUCGAACGGCAGCACAGUAAGAGCUUGCUCUUACGGGUGGCGAGUGGCGGACGGGUGAGGAAUACAUCGGAAUCUACUUUUUCGUGGGGGAUAACGUAGGGAAACUUACGCUAAUACCGCAUACGACCUACGGGUGAAAGCAGGGGAUCUUCGGACCUUGCGCGAUUGAAUGAGCCGAUGUCGGAUUAGCUAGUUGGCGGGGUAAAGGCCCACCAAGGCGACGAUCCGUAGCUGGUCUGAGAGGAUGAGGGGCGAGACGGGAACUGAGAGAGGGGCGAGAGGGGGACGGGAGGCAGGAGGGGGGAAUAGGGGACAAGGGGCGCAAGCCUGAUGGAGCGAGGCCGCGUGGGUGAAGAAGGCCGUCGGGUUGUAAAGCCCUGUUGUGGGGGAAGAAAAGCAGCAGGUGAAGAGCGGGCUGGUCUGACGGUACCCAAAGAAUAAGCACCGGCUAACUUCGUG